rnacentral:rRNA from 1 species
GCACAGCCGUAAACAUUGAUACCCUCAGCUUACGAGAUAUCCGCCAGGGGACUACAAGCACCAGCUUGAAACCCAAAGGACUUGGCGGUGCUUUAGACCCACCUAGAGGAGCCUGUUCUAGAACUGAUAACCCCCGUUAAACCUCACCCCUCCUUGCUUUAUCCGCCUAUAUACCGCCGUCGUCAGCCCACCCUAUGAAGGAAUAACAGUGGGCAAAGUUGGUAUACCCCAAAACGUCAGGUCGAGGUGUAGUAUAUGGAGAGGGAAGAAAUGGGCUACAUUCGUCAAACCACGAACAACGGAUGAUUAAUUGAAACAUAAACCUGAAGGAGGAUUUAGAAGUAAGAAGGAAAUAGAGUGCCCUUCUGAAACCGGCCCUGAAGCGCG